GCUGUGCUUGCUUGGGCAGCUGGUGAUAAUUAAAAAUGACAUGAAGAAAAUUAGCAUGCUCCCUACACAAGGGUGACACGCAAACUCGUGAAGUGUUCCAUAUUUUG
ensembl:snRNA U6 U6 spliceosomal RNA